GUCUUAUUGUUACCGGCUGGCCAAGCUCUACCAUCCCUUACCUUCCUCAGGGCUGAUCUCUCAGAAGAAUGUGGGAGCCUGGGAGGAGAGUGUUGUAGACUUUGGCAAGUUAAGAAGAAGCAGAGUGGCUUUGUUUGUGUCACUCAAAGACUUGGUGAAAGCAGGAGGAGGAGAAACUACUCAGAAGGUGUUAGAAGUGGAACUGAGGCAAUAGUAAAAGCAGGUGAUUUUGAUUUGCAAGUGGCUGUGCUUCUCCUUCCAUCAUGUGGCUCUGCAUCUUCAACACAUGGUUACCAAGGUCACCAGAGAAGGUCAAAGAAGUGGGGAUCACAUUCAGGAGGUUACUAUAGCCCAUUCUUGAAAGUGGUUUAUUUUAAUUCUUAUGCUUCAUAAGCCAGAUGGGAAUUAUUUGGGCUCUGAAUAUGAUACCUGAAAGCAUGACACUUUGACAUGCUGAUGAUUUUGAGCUGAAUAAGAUUGGGAAGGCCUCAGAAACAAGACAGUUUCAUCGACCUACUCUGGCCUUCCCUCCUCCAGUCCCAUUUUCUACCCCCAAGUGGGUCAUAGAAACUAGAAAUCCUCUCCACUGAAGCAAGCCAUAAAAGCUGGGAAGGUCAGGCUCUGAUCUUUUCCCUUCUCCCAUGAAGAUCCUCAUGUGACAAGUGUCUUGCCCCAUACCUGGGGAGGAUAUCAGCCUGAGACACAGAGAAGACGAAGCAAACAGGCCUUCCUAUGUUUCCCCCAGUUUAUUACCAUUAGGUCAUAUUCCUUUUUGUCAAGACAUGUUUCUUCACAACUAUCCUUUUAUUUCAUCAGACUUAACAUAAAGAUAGUUUUCCCUGUGUCUUUGGGCCUUCAUUUAUGAGUGCUCCCACUCCAUGUAAAACUUUGAUUAAAUAAAAUUGUUAUGC
ensembl:lincRNA